rnacentral:rRNA from 1 species
CUACACAUGCAAGUCGAACGAGAACCCAUUCUUAGGAUUGGGGGGACAGUGGCGAACGGGUGAGUAGCACGUUGGUGACCUGCCCCGAAGUGGGGGAUAACCCCGCGAAAGCGGGACUAAUACCGCAUGUGCUCCAGGGGGUUAGAGGCCCCUGGAGUAAAGCUCCGGCGCUUCGGGAGGGGCCUGCGGCCUAUCAGCUAGUUGGUGGGGUAACGGCCUACCAAGGCUAAGACGGGUAGGGGGCGUGAGAGCGUGACCCCCCACAAUGGAACUGAGACACGGUCCAUACUCCUACGGGAGGCAGCAGUGAGGAAUAUUGCGCAAUGGGGGCAACCCUGACGCAGCAACGCCGCGUGGGUGAUGAAGGCCUUCGGGUCGUAAAACCCUUUUCUGGGGGACGAGAUAGGACGGUACCCCAGGAAUAAGUCCCGGCUAACUACGUGCCAGCAGCCGCGGUAAAACGUAGGGGGCAAGCGUUAUCCGGAUUUACUGGGCGUAAAGCGCGUGCAGGCGGCUUGGUAGGUUGGGCGUGAAAGCUCCUGGCUCAACUGGGAGAGGCCGUUCAAUACCGUCAGGCUCGAGGUCGGAAGAGGGGAGUGGAAUUCCCGGUGUAGUGGUGGAAUGCGUAGAUAUCGGGAGGAACACCCGUGGCGAAGGCGGCUCCCUGGUCCGCACCUGACGCUAAGACGCGAAAGCGUGGGGAGCGAACGGGAUUAGAUACCCCGGUAGUCCACGCUGUAAACGAUGGAUGCUAGGUGUGGGUGGUAUUGACCCCAUCCGUGCCGUAGCUAACGCGUUAAGCAUCCCGCCUGGGGACUACGGCCGCAAGGCUAAAACUCAAAGGAAUUGACGGGGGCCCGCACAAGCAGCGGAGCGUGUGGUUUAAUUCGAUGCUACGCGAAGAACCUUACCUGGGCUUGACAUGCACGUAGUAGUGAAGCGAAAGCGGAACGACCCUUCGGGGAGCGUGCACAGGUGCUGCAUGGCUGUCGUCAGCUCGUG